rnacentral:rRNA from 1 species
UGGGGAAUCUUAGACAAUGGGGGCAACCCUGAUCUAGCCAUGCCGCGUGAGUGAAGAAGGCCCUAGGGUCGUAAAGCUCUUUCACCGGGGAAGAUAAUGACGGUACCCGGAGAAGAAACCCCGGCUAACUCCGUGCCAGCAGCCGCGGUAAUACGGAGGGGGUUAGCGUUGUUCGGAAUUACUGGGCGUAAAGCGCGCGUAGGCGGAUCGGAAAGUUGGGGGUGAAAUCCCGGGGCUCAACCCCGGAACUGCCCUCAAAACUGUCGGUCUAGAGUCCGGGAGAGGUGAGUGGAACUCCGAGUGUAGAGGUGAAAUUCGUAGAUAUUCGGAAGAACACCAGUGGCGAAGGCGGCUCACUGGCCCGGUACUGACGCUGAGGUGCGAAAGCGUGGGGAGCAAACA